GAUGAACGCUGGCGGCGUGCCUAAUACAUGCAAGUCGAGCGAACAGACGAGGAGCUUGCUCCUCUGACGUUAGCGGCGGACGGGUGAGUAACACGUGGAUAACCUACCUAUAAGACUGGGAUAACUUCGGGAAACCGGAGCUAAUACCGGAUAAUAUAUUGAACCGCAUGGUUCAAUAGUGAAAGACGGUUUUGCUGUCACUUAUAGAUGGAUCCACGCCGCAUUAGCUAGUUGGUAAGGUAACGGCUUACCAAGGCGACGAUGCGUAGCCGACCUGAGAGGGUGAUCGGCCACACUGGAACUGAGACACGGUCUAGACUCCUACGGGAGGCAGCAGUAGGGAAUCUUCCGCAAUGGGCGAAAGCCUGACGGAGCAACGCCGCGUGAGUGAUGAAGGUCUUCGGAUCGUAAAACUCUGUUAUUAGGGAAGAACAAAUGUGUAAGUAACUAUGCACGUCUUGACGGUACCUAAUCAGAAAGCCACGGCUAACUACGUG
rnacentral:rRNA from 1 species